rnacentral:rRNA from 1 species
UACAGAGGGUGCAAGCGUUAUUCGGAAUUACUGGGCGUAAAGGGUGCGUAGGUGGUUUGGUAAGUUGGGUGUGAAAGUCCUGGGCUUAACCUGGGGAUUGCGCUCAAUACUGUCAAGCUAGAGUACUGUAGAGGAAGGUGGAAUUUCCAGUGUAGCGGUGAAAUGCGUAGAUAUUGGAAGGAACAUCAGUGGCGAAGGCGACUUGCUGGACAGAUACUGACACUGAGGCACGAAAGCGUGGGGAGCAAACAGG